rnacentral:misc_RNA from 1 species
AAAGAAAAAAAAAAAAAAGAAUAAGAAGGAGAAGAGAGAACACCAUUUCUGCUGGAGAGCUACUGCCAAGUAACAUUCAGUUGCUAUUUUUCAGAGUUUUAGGCUCUCAUUCACCUGGGUUUUUAUAUUAUUAGUCUAUUUUUAUGUUUUCUUUGUUAGUUUUAUCAUUUUCUCUUAUAAAUUUUACCAUAAUAGAAUAGUUUGUCUAAGAUUUUAAAGUUGAG